rnacentral:rRNA from 1 species
GAGUUUGAUCGUGGCUCAGGAUGAACGCUGGCGGCGUGCUUAACACAUGCAAGUCGAGCGAAGCACUUUACUUUGAUUUCUUCGGAAUGAAGAGUGAUUUGACUGAGCGGCGGACGGGUGAGUAACGCGUGGGCAACCUGCCUCAUACAGGGGGAUAACAGUUAGAAAUGACUGCUAAUACCGCAUAAGACCACAGUACCGCAUGGUAUGGUAGGUAAAAAACUCCGGUGGUAUGAGAUGGGCCCCGCGUCUGAUUAGGUAGUUGGUGGGGUAACGGCCUACCAAGCCGACGAUCAGUAGCCGACCUGAGAGGGUGACCGGCCACAUUGGGACUGAGACACGGCCCA